rnacentral:rRNA from 1 species
ACGUAGGGGGCAAGCGUUAUCCGGAUUUAUUGGGUUUAAAGGGUGCGUAGGCGGCAUACCAAGUCAGCGGUCAAACCGCGGGGCUCAACCCCGCGUCGCCGUUGAAACUGGUGAGCUUGAGUGGGCGAGAAGUGCGCGGAAUGCGUGGUGUAGCGGUGAAAUGCAUAGAUAUCACGCAGAACCCCGAUUGCGAAGGCAGCGCACCGGCGCCCGACUGACGCUGAGGCACGAAAGUGCGGGUAUCAAACAGGAUUAGAUACCCUGGUAGUCCGCGCAGUAAACGAUGAAUGCUAGCUGUCCGGGGGGCUUGACCUCUGGGUGGCACAGCGAAAGCGUUAAGCAUUCCACCUGGGGAGUACGCCGGCAACGGUG